GCGGUCGUGGUGGAAUUGGUAGACACGCUAGCUUGAGGUGCUAGUGGUGAGAGCUGUGCUGGUUCAAGUCCAGUCGACCGCA
rnacentral:tRNA from 1 species